GCCCGAGUGGUGGAAUGGUUUACACGAGUGACUUAAAAUCACUUGAGCGCAAGCUCAUGCGAGUUCGACUCUCGCCUCGGGCA
rfam:Parcubacteria bacterium GW2011_GWB1_43_6 TV98_C0008, whole genome shotgun sequence.